rnacentral:lncRNA from 1 species
UUUUUUUUUUUUUUUAAAUACUGAAAUCUUGUUUUUUAAAAAGUCAGUACUUUAAACAUAGCAACAGUUUGAAGUUUUAAGGAAUCUAAAGUCAUGUGAAAAACUUGCAAAAACAUAGAAUUGCAAAGCAAGUUUUUCUGCCUUUUUUUAAUUUACUUUCUGUAAUACCAGGUGUAUUCUGAUCAUGGAGUUCAAGCACCACAUCACCAGCCAGUUGCCCAGAAUGCCAUAGCCAUGCCCGCACCUACACUAUGGAGCAUUCAGUAUUAAGCCAUUUGGACAGCUCUGAUCUACCUGCACUGAUUUUCUUGUCCAGUCCUUCCUGUGUGGCUGAGAUCCAUCAUCAACAUAGCAGCUCGCAGCUGCCUGCUGUGGAACUUGCGGAACUGAGGUUGCAUUCUGUGAGAAGAAAUUUUUCACAUCCUUCAUCUGAGUCGGAAACCUCAAUACACACGAAGUCCCCAUUUUCAUCCUAGAAAAGCUUGCAGAAUGGAAGAGAAAAUUCCACCUUCUACAGACUGUAAAACAAAUUUUAUUUUCUUUUAGCUAUCUACUUUGCUAACAUACCUAUCACAUGGAGGAUAUGUUGUUCCUAACUCCUAACAUUUACCUGAAAAUGCCAAAGUUAAAUACCACUCUUUUUCAUAAAGUAAUCAAAUGAAAUACUGUCGUUUGGACAGGUAAAAACACAUGAAACCAUGAUUUUAUCCUGCAUUUCUUAGUAAAAAUACUGUUACAGGACAAAAUGGGGAUUUCUGAUGCACAGCCUACUGUAUAAACUUUGGUUACUAACAUAGAUUGGAAACCAGCAUACUUCUUAUUAAAGGGAAAAUUUUAACAUUUAAUUUCUGGAUUAUAUAAAUUUUAAAGAUACAUUAGUUACAAAGCAAAAGCCAUUUUCCCACAUACUGAGAGCAUUUCUGUGCUGUGGAUUAAAGUCUGGUUAUUUAAAUUUGUGCAUUUUAUUUUAAUUCCAAAAGUUUGUCUAUUUUUUUUUAAUUGGUAUUCUUUACUUUUUUAAGGUAUUUAACUUAUGUAUCAUUUUAGUACUUGGGAAUAAUAACUUUUUAUAAUCAAAUUGGAUUACUAGUUUAUCCUCCUAUGACGCUGACAUUUUGCUCGUGUAUCAUAAGCAAUAAAUUUGGUUUUUGGUAUGUUUUUAGCUGUAGAAAAAAGCAAGAUUUAACUUAUUGCUAUUACAAA